rnacentral:rRNA from 1 species
UACGGAGGGUGCAAGCGUUGUCCGGAUUUAUUGGGUUUAAAGGGUGCGUAGGCGGUUCUUUAAGUCCGGGGUGAAAGCCCACUGCUCAACAGUGGAACUGCCCUGGAAACUGGAGAACUUGAGUACAGACGAGGGCGGCGGAAUGGAUGGUGUAGCGAUGAAAUGCAUAGAUACCAUCCAGAACCCCGAUUGCGAAGGCAGCUGCCUAGACUGUAACUGACGCUGAGGCACGAAAGCGUGGGGAGCGAACAGG